rnacentral:pre_miRNA from 1 species
GAUUUCAACUAAAAAAUCAUCAACAACAAAGUUGUAUAGCUCGUCAAUAUCUAUAACUUUUAUUUUUGUCAUUUCUUCAUCCGACAAAAUAAUAGUAAUAUUGUUCAUAAAAUUUGCAUACCUCUCUUAUAGUUUAUACACUAUAAUAUCUAUAUUUUGUGAACAAUGUUACAAAUCACUUUAUCGGAUGAAGAAAUGACCAAAAUAAAAUUUAUAGAUCUUGAUGAGUUAUACCACUUUGUUAUUGAUGUCUUUUUCAGUUGAAAUC